AGUGAACGCUGGCGGUAGGCCUAACACAUGCAAGUCGAACGGCAGCACAGUAAGAGCUUGCUCUUACGGGUGGCGAGUGGCGGACGGGUGAGGAAUACAUCGGAAUCUACUUUUUCGUGGGGGAUAACGUAGGGAAACUUACGCUAAUACCGCAUACGACCUACGGGUGAAAGCAGGGGAUCUUCGGACCUUGCGCGAUUGAAUGAGCCGAUGUCGGAUUAGCUAGUUGGCGGGGUAAAGGCCCACCAAGGCGACGAUCCGUAGCCGGUCUGAGAGGAUGAUCAGCCACACUGGAACUGAGACACGGUCCAGACUCCUACGGGAGGCAGCAGUGGGGAAUAUUGGACAAUGGGCGCAAGCCUGAUCCAGCCACACCGCGUGGGUGAAGAAGGCCUUCGGGUUGUAAAGCCCUUUUGUUGGGAAAGAAAAGCAGCAGGUUAAUACCCCGCUGUUCUGACGGUACCCAAAGAAUAAGCACCGGCUAACUUCGUG
rnacentral:rRNA from 1 species